rnacentral:rRNA from 1 species
AUUGAACGCUGGCGGCAUGCCUUACACAUGCAAGUCGAACGGCAGCACGGGAGCAAUCCUGGUGGCGAGUGGCGAACGGGUGAGUAAUACAUCGGAACGUGCCCAAUCGUGGGGGAUAACGCAGCGAAAGCUGUGCUAAUACCGCAUACGAUCUACGGAUGAAAGCAGGGGAUCGCAAGACCUUGCGCGAAUGGAGCGGCCGAUGGCAGAUUAGGUAGUUGGUGAGGUAAAGGCUCACCAAGCCGUCGAUCUGUAGCUGGUCUGAGAGGACGACCAGCCACACUGGGACUGAGACACGGCCCAGACUCCUACGGGAGGCAGCAGUGGGGAAUUUUGGACAAUGGGCGAAAGCCUGAUCCAGCCAUGCCGCGUGCAGGAUGAAGGCCUUCGGGUUGUAAACUGCUUUUGUACGGAACGAAACGGCCUUUUCUAAUAAAGAGGGCUAAUGACGGUACCGUAAGAAUAAGCACCGGCUAACUACGUGCCAGCAGCCGCGGUAAUACGUAGGGUGCAAGCGUUAAUCGGAAUUACUGGGCGUAAAGCGUGCGCAGGCGGUUAUGUAAGACAGUUGUGAAAUCCCCGGGCUCAACCUGGGAACUGCAUCUGUGACUGCAUAGCUAGAGUACGGUAGAGGGGGAUGGAAUUCCGCGUGUAGCAGUGAAAUGCGUAGAUAUGCGGAGGAACACCGAUGGCGAAGGCAAUCCCCUGGACCUGUACUGACGCUCAUGCACGAAAGCGUGGGGAGCAAGCAGG